rnacentral:tRNA from 1 species
GACGGAAAAGCUCAGUUGGGAGAGCGUUAAACUGAAUUUGUUUACGCAACAAUAUAAAGGCCCCCGGUUCAAUCCCGGAUUCCGGCA